GACGAACGCUGGCGGCGUGCUUAACACAUGCAAGUCGAACGAUGAACCGGUUUCGGCCGGGGAUUAGUGGCGAACGGGUGAGUAACACGUGGGCAAUCUGCCCUGCACUCUGGGAUAAGCCCGGGAAACUGGGUCUAAUACCGGAUACGACACUCCGAGGCAUCUUGGGGUGUGGAAAGUUCCGGCGGUGCAGGAUGAGCCCGCGGCCUAUCAGCUUGUUGGUGGGGUAAUGGCCUACCAAGGCGACGACGGGUAGCCGGCCUGAGAGGGUGACCGGCCACACUGGGACUGAGACACGGCCCAGACUCCUACGGGAGGCAGCAGUGGGGAAUAUUGCACAAUGGGCGAAAGCCUGAUGCAGCGACGCCGCGUGAGGGAUGACGGCCUUCGGGUUGUAAACCCCUUUCAGCAGGGAAGAAGCGAAAGUGACGGUACCUGCAGAAGAAGCACCGGCUAACUACGUG
rnacentral:rRNA from 1 species